rnacentral:snRNA from 1 species
GUGCUCGCUUCGGCAGCACACAUACUAAAAUUGGAACGAUACAGAUAAGAUUAGCAUGGCCCCUGCACAAGAAUGACACGCAAAUUUGUGAAUCGGUCCAUUAAAAA